UGGGGAAUAUUGCACAAUGGGGGAAACCCUGAUGCAGCGACGCCGCGUGGAGGAAGAAGGUCUUCGGAUUGUAAACUCCUGUUGUUGAGGAAGAAAAGGACGGUACUCAACAAGGAAGUGACGGCUAACUACGUGCCAGCAGCCGCGGUAAAACGUAGGUCACGAGCGUUGUCCGGAAUUACUGGGUGUAAAGGGAGCGCAGGCGGGUAGACAAGUUGGGAGUGAAAUGCAUGGGCUCAACCCAUGAACUGCUCUCAAAACUGUAGAUCUUGAGUAGUGCAGAGGUAGGCGGAAUUCCCGGUGUAGCGGUGGAAUGCGUAGAUAUCGGGAGGAACACCAGUGGCGAAGGCGGCCUACUGGGCACCAACUGACGCUGAGGCUCGAAAGUGUGGGUAGCAAACAGGAUUAGAUACCCGCGU
rnacentral:rRNA from 1 species